UACCAGCUCAGUUCGUGUGUCAUUCAGUGUUCCCUGUGUGGAUAUACCAUGUUGGUUGGAUUCAUUAAAGACUAUUUUGUGUUAUCCUUGGAUCCGUGUUCCGGCAAUGAUCGUGACACAUGAAAGUGACCUUAUGCCAUCCAUCCUUGACCCCGGGAAGCUUCUAAGCUCUCAUUUACCAGAUGGACAAAUGCAGGAUUAGAGAGAGUGUGCACCUUUUUCCCAAAACACCAUAAAUAAUUGAGCGCUAGCAGAGGUCAUUCCUGGAGCAGGUCUUAUUAAGGACGGAGGUGAAGCAUGGAGUCUGGUGGCUUCUUAUCCAUGAAGGCGAGAACACAACCUCGCCAGGUGUUUUUAAGAUUGGUUUAAGAUUCUGAAGCCAGGUGCACAGACAGGAGAACAACGGGUGUUCUCUGAUACACUUAAUCCACGGAAAGGCAGGGACUUGGACUGACCAAAAGCAUAAGGCCACACCCCAUCCUGUGCCGGUCAAAAUGCACCAGAGCACAGCAGUGCGUCUGUCAUUAGCCUCCCGAUGGGCCGGGCUCCAGGGUCAGGGUGGCACCAGGCCAUUUGGACAUAGAGGUGAAAGAAGAGGACAAAUGGAGUGGGAGGAGGAAAAAAGGUGGAGACUGCUGGUUUAAAAGAGAGUGGGCCUAAGGUGAAGACUGCACCUAUGGGGGAUUCACGCUCACACACAGAUUGAUGGAUGGUGGAAAUACUCAGCAUGGAUGGAAGGUGUGUAAGACGCAUAAGGGAUUUGAGGCACGAGGGAGGAAUCACUUCCCAAUGGAGAUAAAUGAGAGAGAUGCUUGAAAAUGAGAGAUCUGGAGUUGGCCCCUCCAGGAUUUUAGCAAAUAUUAAAGGAGUAGUUUGGUAUGUUGUUUUAUUUUUUCAGUGGAACAUAAAUUGAGAAUUUUUAAAGCAUCUAUCCGAAGCCCUUUUUUCCAAAUGAACCAUCCUGUGG